rnacentral:tRNA from 1 species
UGGAGUGUAGCGUAGUCUGGUUAGCGUGCCUGUUUUGGGUACAGGAAGUCACAGGUUCGAAUCCUGUCACUCCAA